rnacentral:rRNA from 1 species
UACAGAGGGGGCGAGCGUUGUUCGGAAUUACUGGGCGUAAAGGGCGCGUAGGCGGCCUUCUAAGUCGAACGUGAAAUCCCCGGGCUCAACCCGGGAACUGCGUCCGAUACUGGGAGGCUUGAAUCCGGGAGAGGGAUGUGGAAUUCCAGGUGUAGCGGUGAAAUGCGUAGAUAUCUGGAGGAACACCGGUGGCGAAGGCGGCAUCCUGGACCGGUAUUGACGCUGAGGCGCGAAAGCCAGGGGAGCAA